CUGGGGUUAAAACCAGCCCCGGGUUAGAUGCAUGCAGUUAAGCAUUGUGGCUAUGGCCUCCCCUGCCUCACGAGGAAAACCAAGGAUUUACAUAUGUGUUCUUCAGUUUGAGGGAGGCAAGAGGAAAAUCUCCCUUUACCUUCAUGCAGAAGAGAAGCCCCAAAGCAAUGAAGCAUGAUGAAACAGGCACCAGUUAAGUCUGAAGAAGACUGCAUGUGAAAGAUUUUUGAAACUAGCUCCACAACCUAGUUGCAGGCUGGCGUUCUGAAACAGAGAAGACCAUGUAAAGACAGAGCAGGAAGAGAUGAGGCCACAAGAUGAGACUGACAACCGCCAAAUGCUGGAAGAGGCAAGGAAGGGACUCUACCCUCAGGUCUCCAGAGGGGGCUCAACACCUUGACUGCAGACUUUAGGUCUACAGAAUUGUGAGAAUAAAUUCCUAUUGUUUGAA